rnacentral:rRNA from 1 species
UUUCACAUGCAAGUCGGACGGCAGCACAGAGAAGCUUGCUUCUUGGGUGGCGAGUGGCGAACGGGUGAGUAAUAUAUCGGAACGUACCGAGUAAUGGGGGAUAACUAAUCGAAAGAUUAGCUAAUACCGCAUAUUCUCUGAGGAGGAAAGCAGGGGACCUUCGGGCCUUGCGUUAUUCGAGCGGCCGAUAUCUGAUUAGCUAGUUGGUGGGGUAAAGGCCUACCAAGGCGACGAUCAGUAGCGGGUCUGAGAGGAUGAUCCGCCACACUGGGACUGAGACACGGCCCAGACUCCUACGGGAGGCAGCAGUGGGGAAUUUUGGACAAUGGGCGCAAGCCUGAUCCAGCCAUGCCGCGUGUCUGAAGAAGGCCUUCGGGUUGUAAAGGACUUUUGUCAGGGAAGAAAAGGCUGUUGCUAAUACCGACAGCUGAUGACGGUACCUGAAGAAUAAGCACCGGCUAACUACGUGCCAGCAGCCGCGGUAAUACGUAGGGUGCGAGCGUUAAUCGGAAUUACUGGGCGUAAAGCGAGCGCAGACGGUUACUUAAGCAGGAUGUGAAAUCCCCGGGCUCAACCUGGGAACUGCGUUCUGAACUGGGUGACUAGAGUGUGUCAGAGGGAGGUAGAAUUCCACGUGUAGCAGUGAAAUGCGUAGAGAUGUGGAGGAAUAC